AUGGCCAGUGACAAUGAGCUGCCGGCGGCGGCGGAUCCUGAGUCGAAUCCCACCGCCACCACCAUAUCCUCCCUCGCCCGGGAUGAACUUCUCGAGAUCUUCCUCCGCCUGCCGGACUUGCCGGCGCUCGCCCGCGCCGCCUUCACCUGCCGCACGUGGCUCGACCUACGGCCCACCCCCUCCUUCUUCCCCGUGCGCCCCUUGGAUCCCGACGUCACCGCCACCGUCCGCCGGGGCGACUUCUUCCUCACCUCUCUCCCCGCACCCGCGUCCCUAAGGUGGAACGUCGCCGACUGCUGCGAUGGGUAUAUCCUCCUCUGGGAUACAACCGAGGUGGCGCUCGCUGCUCUCAACCCCAUCACCUGGGCUGUCCACUCCCUCCCGAUGCCUCCCGAUGAUAUCAGGGCGGACGCGGAGAACGCUGAGGAUAUCUGGGCCGACGCGGACAACGCCGAUGAUAGUUGGUCAGACGCGGACAACCUAGGCGGCUUCACCUUCCUUGGUUUUCACAUCUUGUCCUCUGAGGACAACCCUCGGUCGUUCCGAGUGGUCUGCGUCUGCAGUGAUGAAUAUAGGGUUCGUGCCGCGGUCUUCUCGUCGGAGACAUGGGACUGGGUCAUCCAUCCGUGGGUGGAAGGGACAACCAUGAGGGCUAAUGAUGGCAUGAUGGCUGCCGGUUCCAUUUACUGGCCUUGCCCUAGCUAUGGAACUGGAAGCAUGAUAAAAAUUGACACUGCCACGAUGGAUAUCACCACUCUGGACAUGCCCAAUGGAGUGGACAUGGGGGCAGGCAGCAUAAAGGUCGGGGAGACCAAGGAUGGUGAACUUUGUAUUGCUCAUGCAUCUUAUGAUCUCCUUCUCAAUGUUUGGAUCCAUAGUGUUGACGCUGAUGGGAUUCAGGGCUGGACACCGCACAGGACAUUCUCUAUGAGUUCCGAAAUCGAUCGCGUUUCGCAGGGGUGGGCGCGGCACUAUGAUGGAGACCUCGAGGUUGUGCAAGUUAAGAAUGGAUGCGUUUACUUAUCAGCAAAACUGAUGUGCCCUCUUGGCGCACUCUGCCGCUGGGUUUUCUCCCUUUCCUUGGAGACUAUGAAGCUUGACUUGCUGGUUGAGGGAAGGUAUGAUGGUCCUGGCUAUCCGUACAUUAUGGCAUGGCCUCCUUCUUUAGUU
rnacentral:rRNA from 1 species